UUCGCAAUGCCCGAAAGGGUGACGAAGCGACGCCGCGUGUGGGAAGAAGGCUCUAGGGUUGUAAACCACUGUCAGGAGUUAAGAAAUGUAGAGGUGAUAAUAGCGCCUUUAUUUGACGAAGGCUCCAGAGGAAGCCACGGCUAACUCUGUGCCAGCAGCCGCGGUAAUACAGAGGUGGCAAGCGUUGUUCGGAAUUAUUGGGCGUAAAGAGCACGUAGGUGGAUUUGUAAGUCAGACGUGAAAGCCUUCUGUUCAACGGAAGAAUUGCAUCUGAAACUACAAACCUUGAGUGUAGGAGGGGAGAAUGGAACUUCUGGUGGAGCGGUGAAAUGCGUAGAUAUCAGAAGGAACGCCGGCGGCGAAAGCUAUUCUCUGGCCUAUUACUGACACUCAGUGUGCGAAAGCUAGGGGAGCAAACGGGAUUAGAUACCCCGGUAGUCCUAGCCGUAAACGAUGGGCACUAAGUAGAGGGGUUUU
rnacentral:rRNA from 1 species